UACGAAGGGGGCUAGCGUUGCUCGGAAUUACUGGGCGUAAAGGGCGCGUAGGCGGCGCAUUUAGUCAGGCGUGAAAUCCCCGGGCUCAACCUGGGAAUGGCGAUGGAUACUGGCGAGCUAGAGUGUGUCAGAGGAUGGUGGAAUUCCCGGUGUAGCGGUGAAAUGCGUAGAGAUCGGGAGGAACAUCAGUGGCGAAGGCGGCCAUCUGGGACAACACUGACGCUGAAGCACGAAAGCGUGGGGAGCAAACAGG
rnacentral:rRNA from 1 species